GCUUUAUUGAUUGGCCACCAAUUUUGCAUUAUUUAUUGGCAUUAAUUUGAUACCGGGAUAUGAUUAUUUUUGCCUAAACUAAGAACACAUAACAUACUUGUCAAUAUUAGUCGAAGAAACUUGAGACUUGUGUGAGGACUUUAAUCCUAGGAACUUUUAGGAGUUCUAUGUUUAAGAGUGAUCCGGGGGCGAUAGUCUUGCAUGUAAUCCACGUUUUGUAUGCCACGAGAGUGAGUAUAAACUAAUUUUGAGAUUGUCUUAGGAAGAACUUGUCAUUAAUUGAAUGAGUUGAGUUUAUUUGAUUUCAUUAAUGGCGGAGUGUUGCCCAACAUUAAGAUUGCGACGCUACGGCUGCCCGAGAUUGAGAGCUUCCAUGUGUUGGGUUGUACCUCAAGGUACAAGUGGCUGAGCCCACCUCUGCAAGCAAGGGGGAAUUCGGGAAUGGUGAAAAGAAUUUAGCUUUUUGUUUAUUUCCUUUAAGUUUGUCCCUUACUUCCUUCAAGUUCGUUAUGGGAGGCUCAUAUCCUAGAUCCAGUUGUAGAAGUCGUUGUGGAGCGUGGUAUUCGUUAGAGGGAAUCACAUCAGUCUGCCAUAGGUGUUCAUCGCAAUCUUCUACGGCCGAUCAAGGGGCUGCCCCUGUGCCCAGUGAAGCCGUGUGAGGCCUACGACUAUAUGAUGGUUGCUCUGUUCGAGAACUGCAGCAUGAGCUGCGAGGUAUUCGACAAGUAGCGCAAGAGGUGCGUCGACUGCAACGAGAAUGGCUUGGCCCGUUGCUCACUCUCCUGAGGUAUGAUAAUUAUUAUUGUUGUCAUCGGCAUUGUUGUGGUGGGACGAUUGUGGUGACUGGCGGCGGUUCGUAGCAUGGUAUAGUAUUACUCUCCAUCUUGUCUGAGUAACUUUAGAUAUUAUUUUGGCAAUGAUGGAGAUUCUGAUGAAGGCCUGAUUUAUUGAGGCUUUUCUUUGAUUUAUUGUCAUUAUUUUGUUUUCAGUUGGUAGAACUAUGUUAGUAACGAUUCGUGGUUAUUAAAUUUUCACAGAUUGUUGUCUCGAUUUGGUUAAGCAGAAAAUAUUGAUUAAAAGGGGUUACUUGAUCAAUAUGUUGUUUUUCUUGACCAUGGGACGUUGACAAGGCAACCAUACUUCAGCUACAACGUCGUUUCCGCCAGAACUACAGUGUAUUUCAUUGCCAAUUAUUUGUUUGUGAUUUUAUUGCCAUAUUUUAUAUUGUGGACUCUGGAUACUUUUUGUAUUUGGUGCUUUUGUUAUUGAAUUUCCUAUCAACCCCAAUGUUUGUAUUUUCAUGCAGUUUUUCUUUCUCCGUCAAAACACUCGGCUCAUCAAUUGAAGUGAUAUCUCGUAUCUAGAUUUUUUGUCCAAUAUGUGGAACUUGUAUGAUUUUAAGGAAUGUAUUUUCAUGCAGUGGAACUGAAUGUUUUUGUUUUGAUUCGGGAUCUCUGAAAAUGGUCAAAUACUUGUAUGAUUUUAAGGAAUGUUUUUGUUUUUAUUAGGAUCGCUUAUUUCGUUAAGGGAUGUUAUUUUGUUUUGAUUUUGAGUCUCAUUUUAUGGUAAAGGUUGGAUCUUUUUGCGUGGAG